rnacentral:misc_RNA from 1 species
GAAUUGCGAUAAGUAGUAUGAAUUGCAAAUUCUGUGAAUCAUCGAAUCUUUGAACGCAUAUUGCGCUCUCUGGUACUCCGGAGAGCAUGCCUGUUUGAGGGUAAUUAACAGAAUCUUUAACCUUUCUUGGUUAAAGGAUAUGGGCAGUCCGCGGUUUCGCGGUGGCCUAAAAUAUAUGGUCAGUCUCAUCGAGUUGAGAUGCGUAAUAAUUAUUAUUUCGCAAAAAGAUUUGAUAAGCUACCAAGUUUUGAUUCAUUCAACUAUGUUGGGUGCGGUUAAAACAAAUAUUUUUGACAUUACCUCAAAUCAGGUAGGAAUACCCGCUGAACUUAA